rnacentral:rRNA from 1 species
AUGGAAACUUCCCAACACCUUUUCUUUACCUGCCCUGUUGCUCGGGUGAUCUGGAGGAUGGUUGGAUGUGUAUUGGGCACGUCUCUCUGUCCGAACAACAUUUGGCAGUACUUCUCCCGGUGUUAUAUUUUCCUUCCUGAUGGAGUUAAAUUUUACACCUCUGGUUUGGCAGCAGUCUGUUGGGCGAUUUGGAACUGUCGUAACCAGGCUACUUUUGAACACAAAAUUCUUAAAAGUCCUUUUAAUGUGGUGUAUGCUGCUUGUGGUUUUUUGACAUACUGGGCAGGUUUGAUGGCUGGUGAUGAUCGGGAGUUCAUGGAACGCGGAGCCAAGAUGCUCAGGUCCAGUGCUUCGAUGAUGAUGAGAAUCUGCGCGGCUCCUACCAAGUCAGCGAUGAACUGA